rnacentral:rRNA from 1 species
GACGAACCGUGCGAACGUUGUUCGGAAUCACUGGGUUUAAAGGGCGCGUAGGCGGGCUGUCAAGUCGGUGGUGAAAUCUUUCAGCUUAACUGGAAAAUGGCCUUCGAUACUGGCGGUCUGGAGGAAGGUAGGGGCAUGCGGAACUUCCGGUGGAGCGGUGAAAUGCGUAGAUAUCGGAAGGAACACCGAUGGCGAAGGCGGCCUGCUGGGCUAUGGCUGACACUGAGGCGCGACAGCGUGGGGAGCAACAGG